rnacentral:rRNA from 1 species
UCCAGACUCCUACGGGAGGCAGCAGUGGGGAAUAUUGGGCAAUGGGCGCAAGCCUGACCCAGCAACGCCGCGUGAAGGAAGAAGGCUUUCGGGUUGUAAACUUCUUUUCUCAGGGACGAAGAAAGUGACGGUACCUGAGGAAUAAGCCACGGCUAACUACGUGCCAGCAGCCGCGGUAAUACGUAGGUGGCAAGCGUUAUCCGGAUUUAUUGGGUGUAAAGGGCGGGUAGGCGGGAGCGCAAGUCAGAUGUGAAAACUCAGGGCUCAACCCCGAGCCUGCAUUUGGAACUGUGUUUCUUGAGUGCUGGAGAGGCGAGCGGAAUUCCGUGUGGAGCGGUGAAAUGCGGAGAUAUACGGAGGAACACCAGUGGCGAAGGCGGAUUGCUGGACAGUAACUGACGCUGAGGCGCGAAAGCGUGGGGAGCAAACAGGAUUAGAUACCCGCGUAC